rnacentral:lncRNA from 1 species
ACGUGGAUUUUUCUAUUUUUAACAGUUUUGUAUGGUACCAGUUAAAAAGUACAGUGAAUGACCAAUACGGUUAAAUGCUUGAUGACAAGUCAUUUUACUAUCCGACCAGUUCAGUGCAGAGGAUGAAAUUGUUGACAAUAUGUGUUUUUCCAUCGCAGAGAGGUAUUUGUGUACCCAGACGAUGACAACAAACAUGAAGUUGGUGAAGGUCUCGAUAAGAAAGCUGAGAUAACUUUGGACUGUGUUUGGCCGAGAGAUAAAUCUAUUGGAACUACAAUUAAGGAAUUCGUCAAAACUCAUAGGGAAUUUUCAGCUGAAAAAAUGCCAAGGGAAUGACCUGUGUUCAUACUGUACAAUCAGUUCUUCUAGAUUACAGCAAAGGCUUCAGUUCUUGCAUUUCCUUGUCCCAGAUGAAGAUGGUUAACAUUAUAGAGACUUUAAUGAGCUGUAUGGAAGGGAUAUCAAUGACAGUCAGUUGAUGAUGAAUUUGUUGAAUGUUACCAUAGAAACAGAGACAUCGGUGAUCCUGAAAGUAGAGAAAGCAAGAGGUGCGAUAACUUCUUCCGAGUGUGACAAAACAUGGGUGGUCUAUUCUGCUCUUUAGAGGACUAUGAAACAAGUAAUACAUUCAGGCUAUAGCUGUAUGGAAGGGAUAUCAAUGACAGUCAGUUGAUGAUGAAUUUGUUGAAUGUUACCAUAGAAACAGAGACAUCGGUGAUCCUGAAAGUAGAGAAAGCAAGAGGUGCGAUAACUUCUUCCGAGUGUGACAAAACAUGGGUGGUCUAUUCUGCUCUUUAGAGGACUAUGAAACAAGUAAUACAUUCAGGCUAUAGGAUGCUGUAUUUAAGAGAGGAGAACAAUUAUACAUGUGGUAACAGUGUUGAGGAUUUGGGGCUUGUAACAAAACAGAGUCUGCCUUAUGCCUUAGAAAUUGAACUUAAAUAUGAUGGACAAGGGGUCAGAUCGUGCCCACCACCAUGCUGUAUUUACUGUGGAGACAACACCUGCUUGAGGAUAUUGAUCUGUAAAUCACAAAACUCUAUGAAAACGUUUCAAGUGUACAUCCACUAGUGUAACAACUUGUUUAGAAAAUUGUCAAGAUAACCUGGAGUCGUUAAUUCUUCAGAAAAAAGAAAAAUGAUGUGAAACCUGUGAUAUGCAAGCACUGUUCAGAAAACAAAUGAAUGUUGUGCAAAAACAUGCUCUAGUGGACUUGAUCAACAUUCUAACAUUACUUAUGUAUUCAGUAUUGUGGAAAUUGCUUUAACUUUUGUACGUAAAACAUUUGAAUGAAAUCAGUUAAGGUAAUUUAUUCUAAUUUGAAUUAUUGUUCAGAUAUAAAAUUUUCAAAGCAGUUUUUGUUUUUAAUUUUUCAGUUCAUUUUGUUAUAUAAUACAUGUUAGCCAUGCUAUUUUAAAAAGUGUUUGUUUGCAGAGCUACAAUUGAUCUUUCAAAUUGGCUUGGCCCAAAUCUUUUUGAUAGUUAUUCAAGUGUUCAUUUAUAACAUGUUUUUCCAUGAAUUUUGAAAUAUUAGAGUGAAAUAUAUCUGGUAUUUUCACAGUGAAAAAUAUCAGAUAUAUUUUUCAA